AGAUCUUUAAAGCAUCUACUAUGUGAAAAAGUUCUCUGCUAGAUAUUUUACUAAGGUAAUAAGCAACUUUACAACAAAGACAACAAUGAAAAACAAUGAUGGUCCACAUCCUGCCGAGGGUCACACGGGCAGCCAGUGGAUGAGCUGGCCUCCUAAACCAGUUCCAACUCUCAUCUCCAUGGGAGGAGAUAAGCUCACCUCCCAUCAGCUCCCGUGACACGCUGGUAUGGGUGACUCAACACGGAAGUCUGUAUUUCCACCCAGUCAAGUUCUGUCAUGGAUUUUCUAGGACAUCUCAGAGCCCUUUCUGCAAACCCAAGGGUGAGAUCUAAACAUCGAUGCAGUCUCAGUGGCAUGAGUACUUCCAGAGCAAAGUCACAGUCAAAAACACAUCUGUGCGGCCGGAGGGGUCUGGGGAACAGAAAAAGGCCAUACUCUGUGUGAUGCGUUACU